rnacentral:rRNA from 1 species
GUCGUGAGACAGUUCGGUCCCUAUCCGUCGUGGGCGUAGGAAAUUUGAGAGGAGCUGUCCUUAGUACGAGAGGACCGGGAUGGACAUACCUCUGGUGUACCAGUUGUCGUGCCAACGGCAUAGCUGGUUAGCUAUGUAUGGACGGGAUAAGUGCUGAAAGCAUCUAAGCAUGAAGCCCCCCUCGAGAUGAGAUUUCCCAACUUCGGUUAUAAGAUCCCUCAAAGAUGAUGAGGUGAAUAGGUUCGAGGUGGAAGC